UACCAGCACCCCGAGUGGUCGGGACGUUUUUUUAUGGGCCUAAAGCAUCCGUAGCCGGUUCUACAAGUCUUCCGUUAAAUCCAUCUGCUUAACAGAUGGGCUGCGGAAGAUACUAUAGAGCUAGGAGGCGGGAGAGGCAAGCGGUACUCGAUGGGUAGGGGUAAAAUCCGUUGAUCCAUUGAAGACCACCAGUGGCGAAGGCGGCUUGCCAGAACGCGCUCGACGGUGAGGGGAUGAAAGCUGGGGGGAGCAAACCGG
rnacentral:rRNA from 1 species